GUCGAGCGGACAGAUGGGAGCUUGCUCCCUGAUGUUAGCGGCGGACGGGUGAGUAACACGUGGGUAACCUGCCUGUAAGACUGGGAUAACUCCGGGAAACCGGGGCUAAUACCGGAUGCUUGAUUGAACCGCAUGGUUCAAUUAUAAAAGGUGGCUUUUAGCUACCACUUACAGAUGGACCCGCGGCGCAUUAGCUAGUUGGUGAGGUAACGGCUCACCAAGGCAACGAUGCGUAGCCGACCUGAGAGGGUGAUCGGCCACACUGGGACUGAGACACGGCCCAAACUCCUACGGGAGGCAGCAGUAGGGAAUCUUCCGCAAUGGACGAAAGUCUGACGGAGCAACGCCGCGUGAGUGAUGAAGGUUUUCGGAUCGUAAAACUCUGUUGUUAGGGAAGAACAAGUACCGUUCGAAUAGGGCGGUACCUUGACGGUACCUAACCAGAAAGCCACGGCUAACUACGUGCCAGCAGCCGCGGUAAUACGUAGGUGGCAAGCGUUGUCCGGAAUUAUUGGGCGUAAAGCGCGCGCAGGCGGUUUCUUAAGUCUGAUGUGAAAGCCCCCGGCUCAACCGGGGAGGGUCAUUGGAAACUGGGGAACUUGAGUGCAGAAGAGGAGAGUGGAAUUCCACGUGUAGCGGUGAAAUGCGUAGAGAUGUGGAGGAACACCAGUGGCGAAGGCGACUCUCUGGUCUGUAACUGACGCUGAGGCGCGAAAGCGUGGGGAGCGAACAGGAUUAGAUACCCUGGUAGUCCACGCCGUAAACGAUGAGUGCUAAGUGUUAGAGGGUUUCCGCCCUUUAGUGCUGCAGCAAACGCAUUAAGCACUCCGCCUGGGGGAGUACGGUCGCAAGACUGAAACUCAAAGGGAAUUGACGGGGGGCCCGCACAAGCGGGUGGAAGCAAUGUGGGUUUAAUUUCGAAG
rnacentral:rRNA from 1 species